AUUCCCUAGAGUUAUGCAGCACAAAAUGUGUGUGAAUGUUUUGUGACAGUUUGGGAUGGAAGGAAAUCAUUUCUCAAUAAUUUACACUCUAAUGUGGAUGAAGGAUAAGCAGAAAGCAAAAACACAGCCAUUGGGGAAAAUCCCCAAGUAUUUACUUCAUAGAUCAAAGCAAAGGAAUCAGUAACUAGGAAGGGUUGUGCAGGAGAUUCUGGGAAGUUUUUGUUUGGAGGAGGGUAAGGAAACAAAAUUCUCUGAAAAAGAGCUCAUGGUGGAAAGCAGCUGAUGGCAAGGCUGGAAAACCAAAUAUGUGGGUCUCCAAAUGCCUGAUUAUAUAGUUUGGAUAUCAGCCCUAGGCUACAUAAAAGGCUGAGGGAGAGGAGCAUUUUCAGAAGAAUUCAAAGUGAAGGGAAGCUGUUAGAGGAUGCUUUCGGGCAGAAUACUUACCUUUAUUUUUUAAGAGUUAUAUACAUGUAAAACAGCAUACGUUCAUCUGAUCUGCUUAGCCAAGGUUAAUAUUCUGAGGUGAAGUAGAUCUGUGUGGUAAGCCCUUCACAUUUAUUUUACAAUUUAUUUCUGGAUUCCUAGGGACAUUUUGUAAAUUGAGUACUUUCCACAUGAAUCCCUAUUUUUCCCCCUUGUAAGAAAAUGUUAAGUAUAUACGUUGUGUAAAACUCAACAGUUAUUAGAGUUCCCAUCGUGGCACAGUGGUUAAUGAAUGUGACUAGGAACCAUGAGGUUGCGAGUUCAAUCCCUGGCCUUGCUCAGUGGGUUGAGGAUCUGGCGUUGCUGUGAGCUGUGGUGUAGGUCACAGACGUGGCUCGGAUCCCAAGUUGCUGUGGCUGUGGUGUAGGUCAGUGGCUACAGGUCUGAUUAGACCCCUAUCCUGGGAACCUCCAUGUGCCGCGGUAAGCGGCCCUAGAAAAGACAAAAACAAAAAACAAUAAACAAACAAAAAAAAAACAGUUAUUAAAAAUGAAUUUACAGUGAUCAAUGCCAUGCAUAUUGUCCUAGUCUAUUCUUCUUAUUCUUCUGCUUCAAAUAAAAUAAUGUAAGUUAAGACUGUCAUAAUCUUGUUGACUUUAAUUUGAGAGGCAGAGUUGUCGAAUUGAUAUGAACAAAUCAAUGACUAAUCAGUUUAAAUAGCAAUCCUUACUGAACAUAUUUAUGGGAACUUAAUUACUAUACUGUAGUGCCAUGUCAAGUGUGAAAAAGCAUUAAAAUAUACUAGCAUGUGUCAACAGGCAAUGUCAGAAAGUGCAAUGGACUAUGAACCCAUUAAACUUUUAUAUUUUUAAGCACUUUACUUGGACAAAUCAUCAAAUCUCAGUGAUAACUUGCAAAAUAUGCAAAUUAGUAAUAUUGCACUUCCAAGCAAGCCAUGACACAUUCUUGGCCUAUUUGUACAUUCACUGUAUUUAAUACAAUUCACCAUCAGUGUUGCUGUUGUUAAGUAUAGAUUACUAAAGUCUUGCAUCUGAAAUUCUGGUGAUGAUCUAGGCAGGUGGUGAAAACUACACUGCCUGUUUAAGCAAUUUCAUCUAGAUCUAUCUUAGUUCCUUGCAGUGUUUUGCACUUUAUAAACUAGCUUAUUUUAUUGGACAAACUUGCCUUAGAAACAACAUAUGCGUGAGUCAAUGGAAAGGCAAAUGUUCUUGAAAAGAUUCAGAACUCUGUCGAGCAUUUAGCAUGGCCAGGAAAGAUUGGGUCUGAAUUAGGAGUUGAAAUGGGGAAGCUCUGUGAGCAAUGAAGGGAAGAAGCAGCUUCCUACAGAGAUGUGAGAGUAAUAGGAGGAGAAAUAUGUCUGUUCUAAAAUCAGUUUAGAAUCAGAGAUCACAAACAUAUUGCUGGUAGGAAAUCAACACUUACUGAGAGAUGUUUUUACAGCUGUCACUUCUAUCCAUCUCCCUUGUUAUAUCUCAGAUAUAAACACCACACCCUAUGAGCAUAUGCAUGCACGUGCAUCCACGGACGUGCGGGCACGCACACACACACACACACACACACACACACACACACUUUCCUUUCAUGGUUAGAGAUGAUAAAAUCAACAUUAUUGCUACCCUUAUCUUUUCACUACCCUGCACCCCAAAUUAUUCUGCUGAGCUUUUAUUAAAAACUUCAUUCUAAAAGCCUUAGGAGGGAAAAUAUUAUUUUGCUGUCAAAUGGAACCCUUUGUCUCCUAUUUUGAAUCUGGGUGAAAUAAGAAAUAAACUCUUAUGACUGUUUCUCUAAGUCAUUUUUUCUGACAGUCUCCGAAGCUUAUUGAUAAGAACACUUGUGUCUUGAGGGCUUUUAUUUUGCAUCUGCUCUUGCAGUAGUUUCUAUAGGAGAUGAGAUAUUUCUAUACAUUUCUGCCUUAAUUAAAAUGGUGCUUGGAAAAUGGGAGAAGUAAGGAAAAGGUAAGAAGAGUUCAUUUUAGACAGAAUAUAUUUUUAAAAGAAAACAAAUUGACUUGACAGGAAAGGCAAGGAUCAGAACACACAGUGGCUGGGGAAGCCACAAGGAAAUAGAAUACAAAGGUUUGCAAGCUUUGUCCAAAAGCUACAGAACAGCUCUCACUGAUACAGGUUUUCUGUUUUCAAGUCCCAGCUGCUCUUACAUUCACUCAGAAGUUUCAUAUCCUUUUUAUUACCCUGGAGAGAAAGAAGAGCCUCUUGAUGGAUUGAUUGCUGUAACAAUUCCACCCUUCAUACAAAGCUCUUCUUUCCCAAACUCCAGUAUGCCAGGAAGAUGCAAAUGGUUAGGGAUUACUGGCUCACAGUCAAAGUUAAAUUCAUCCAGGCUCCUGAAAAAUGGAAAUUUAAACCAUCUCAUCUAUGGGCUCAAUUUUUUUUUUUUUUUUUUUUGAGAAAAGACAUACAAUUCUGUGUCGGUGUGCUCACAUGAUCUAUAACCAAGGAGUUUAGCAUAUCAAGUAUUUCCUCCUCACCUCUAACAUUUGCAACAUUCAGGCUUACAGUAACAUUGUAGGGACGAAGAUAUACUUAUCAAUUCUACUAAACAACUUACCAAAAAAAGCGGGGGUGGGGAGUAGUGAGAGAGUGUGAUCGCACAAAGCUGGCAGUGCUCAGAGCCUUGACUUUUAGUUACUGGACAAACAUAAAAGUGAUCUUUUUUUAAUCUACAAAAUUUUUUCCAUCCAAUAUACACAAUGAUAUCCAUAUGGAUAUUACUGUUAAAGUAUAUAAUCAGAUAAGUAAAUAAAAAAGAAGCAUUCUGCCAAGUUCAAAGAAACUAUAUUCUAGAGAUUGGAGAAUAUUACAAGUAAUAGUUCCUCUAAUAUUUUAUAAAGACAAAGAGAAGAGCUGAAGCAUCUGACUAUUGAAAGUUGUUGAUGAAAAAGCUCUGAGUUAUGUGUUGCAACUCGGUAAUAACUCAGAUUCCCUAGAAAAUCAUUCUUUUCCUCCUUCCACUUUAUCCUAAAGAUCUGAUUCUUCUGUUUCAUGCAUUUAAUAAGAUAAGCAUCCCUUCCAAAGGAAAACAAGCUGACCUUAAAAAUUCCAGACUUGGAAUCAAUCUCUACUGAAAGGAGUCACUGCUGUCUCUCAGACCAAAAGUAGAACGUGAAAUCCAUACUGGCUCAUUAAAAUCCUAGACUUCUUCAGGCCCAUCUGUAAAUGAUGACAAGUAGUAAUCACUGUGAUUGCAAUAUGUAUUUAAUGCUUUCGUGUUUCGACACAUGCAUACAUGUAGCAUGGUUUAGAGAGUUUGGAACUAUUUUGAGAUUGUUUUGAGCUCUUAAGAUUUCAGAUCUGUGUCAUGGUUUCUAUUACAUGAUGUAAUUGAAAUGGGUGAUAAUCUAGGUAAGAGAGGAGAAACUGCUAUUGUGACUUUUCCCCCACUGUGGGCUUUCUGGGUUUCAGCAGCCCAACACUCUCUGUCCCCAAUGUGAUAUCCAAAGAUACUGAACAUAAGCCGAAUCACUAUCUAGUGUUAACACCCAGAGAUGAUUCAACCAGCAAAUGUUUCCUUCUGGGAAGCCUCUGAGGAUCCCAAUUACUCUGAAUCAAGAGAGAAGUCAGUCAGGCUUGAAGUAAGGGGCUUGCAUUUAAAAUCAGCAGAGAGGGAAAAGUGUGAUGAACGGAUAAGUUUCUUGGCUUGUCAGAGCUGCUGAAAAGUAUUACUGUCAAGCUUACCACCUCCCUUCUGGCCCUCCUUCUCCUUGAAGAUAUCGAUAGGAAAUGCAGUCAGAUCCAUUCUUCCUCGUCUUCCUGCAAGAGCAUGAGGCUGCUUACUGACAUUCUCAAAAUUUCCAUCUCAGAAGUUACUUUUUUCAGGCGCAAAUUCUGUAGAAUCCCCUACAUCUCCCCUUAUUCAAAAACCCAAGAGGUGCUUCUCAGGGAGAAGAAAAGAAGGAAUGUCUACAGCUGUGUUUGCUGCCAAAGGACUUAAUGAAAGAUUGCAGGCGCCACAUCCUCUUUAAUUGAGUUUCAGUUUGUUUCACACAUGGGAGUCUGGUUGUCACAAGGGAGUUAUAAACGGACACAAUGUCCUUCGUGGCUAUGGAGUUCAGUGUAGUGGCGUAUGAGAAGAGAGAGCAUUAUUCACGGAUAUUGUCCAUGCCUCUUUAGAAGGGGUCAGAUGGCAGGAAUCCUUGAAGAGCGAAGCACUGGAGCUGUGCCUCCAGGAUGAAUUCCAGAGUCUGGCUAGCCAAGUCCUACUCAUUCUUUAAACAUCUGCUCCCCUAGUGGUUGCAGUAAAAAAGUAUAUGGACUUUCUGAGUAGAGAAUUUCUUCUCUGGCUUCUGAGACCAGCUAUCUGUCUGUAUCUUUAACAUAUAUAGAUAUCUUUGGUCAAGUAGCUUUAUAUUAUGUUCUGUGUGGUUUUUUUAAUUUUAAAAAAUUUAACUAUGAUUUAAAAAAACCCCACAUAACAUAGGAUUUAUCAUUUUAACCAUUUUUAAGUGUAUGGUUCAAAAGUGUUAAAUAUAUGCACAUCGCUGUGCAACAGAUCUCUAUAACUUCUUCAUCUGGCAAAACUGAAACUUGACACCCACUGAGCAACAACUCUUUUUCUCCCUACCUCCACCACAGGCAACCACCAUUCUGCUUUCUGUCCUAUGAGUCUGACUAUUUUAGAUACCUCAGAUAAGUGGAAUCAUACAGUAUUUUAUCUCUAAUUUGUGUUUUUGUUCAAGUUGAUAUGUGGCUAACACUGGCUUAGGAUUAAUUCGACAAAAACGAGUUAUUCUGCAUUAGCAGUAAGAGUAAGUCCUAAAACAAAAGUUUCAGCCCUCAUGAGGCUUGUAAUCUAGCAAAUAUAUUUGAACAGUCUCUGCAAAAAUGUAAUAUACACCGUAACAGAGAUGUGUGCAUAAUAUUGCUUCAAUUAAUCAUCUUCAUUGUUUACAUCAUAUUGCCAAAUCAGAAAAUUUCUCUUGCAUUUCCAUUUCCUCACUUCAUGAAGACUGAGAUCGUAUUUAAAUCUAUUAAAAGUCUGAGAUUACUUUUAAAUUUCCACACUUUUUGCAUUGAUAAUAUAGUAUCCUAAGUCCUAAAGUUUGUCACUUUUUAUUCCUGGGGUAUCACAGUGAAAAGCUCCCCCACCCUCACCAUACAAUUUUUUUUUCUCCUUUCUCUACUAACUCUGUAGUUCUCUAUUAUAUCUGAUUUUGUACAAGCAUUCUUUUUCAUCCUUUUAAGAUUUCAUGUCUUCCACCUGGCAUUCUUCCCUACUUUGUGAUAUGUAAAUUUUUUAGAAAUCCAUAUUUUUGGCAUUAAAAGCUACUAUUUGAUAGGUUUUUCCUUGAAACACCACAGAGUCAUUUUCACUUUGAGUGUCU
rnacentral:lncRNA from 1 species